rnacentral:rRNA from 1 species
GACGAACGCUGGCGGCGUGCCUAAUACAUGCAAGUUGAGCGAUGAAGAUUGGUGCUUGCACCAAUUUGAAGAGCAGCGAACGGGUGAGUAACGCGUGGGGAAUCUGCCUUUGAGCGGGGGACAACAUUUGGAAACGAAUGCUAAUACCGCAUAACAACUUUAAACAUAAGUUUUAAGUUUGAAAGAUGCAAUUGCAUCACUCAAAGAUGAUCCCGCGUUGUAUUAGCUAGUUGUUGAGGUAAAGGCUCACCAAGGCGAUGAUACAUAGCCGACCUGAGAGGGUGAUCGGCCACAUUGGGACUGAGACACGGCCCAAACUCCUACGGGAGGCAGCAGUAGGGAAUCUUCGGCAAUAGACGAAAGUCUGACCGAGCAACGCCGCGUGAGUGAAGAAGGUUUUCGGAUCGUAAAACUCUGUUGGUAGAGAAGAACGUUGGUGAGAGUGGAAAGCUCAUCAAGUGACGGUAACUACCCAGAAAGGGACGGCUAACUACGUG